AUGCUUGGGCGAGAGUAGUACUAG
rnacentral:snRNA from 1 species